GUGGGCUGGCGUGGCUCCUCCCCAGCGGGCGGUAGACUCGGGAGUCCGCGGCGGAGUGAAAAGCAGCGGAGGUUGCGCUGCGAAGGAAGGGCCCACGCCCUGGACCCGGCUGGCGGGAAAGUGGAUAGCCUUCCCGGAGGAACUGUUGGAGCUGCUGAGAAAACCUGCGUAGGGGCACCGUGGUAUAAAUCUCUCGAUUGUUGACACGGAAGAGAAAAAAGAGAAGUGAAUUUGGACUGACACAACUAAGAUGGCCGGUGGAAUAUUUCGCCAGUUCGGUGACUCACGGUGGGUGGAGGAGGAAGGGUUAAAAACUUUGUUGUGUGUAGAUGAACUUCAAAACCGAAUGUAUUCCGGUAUCUGAGAGCCUCA
rnacentral:lncRNA from 1 species